AUGACAAAGUGCGCAGUCGACAAGGUUAAGGAGAAGAAACAGAAUCUCUCAAGUGAGCACGGCCAACAAAUCGCUCUGUGUAACUCUAGCUCUCCAUGGCUACUCUUCGGGCAGGAGGGGAGAAGAUGUGAGGGGUGUGAUGAGGUCAAUCCCCUGGUGCCUGAUAGUGAAACUGAAAAAUCAUGGAGAAAAUAUGGACUUAUGGCACACACUACAGCAUUUCCUGUACAGUCUCUGGAGUAUUGAGGAAACUGCUUUUUAGGUCAAGAAGGUUAUGACCAGAAGCCAGUUUUCUUGGAAGAGUAAAGCCCACAGCACAACAGAAUUCCAUCCUUAGGGAUUUCGGGAAGCAGCACAGCAGACCUGGAUAGCCUGGGAAAUGGGAGGAGGGAGGCAAUGGGAGGUCUUAUCCAAGAACUUUCUUAACAACUCAGUUUGAAACCCUAAGGGAUGUAUGUGAGAAAUUAUCAACAGGCACUGAAUCAUCUCAUAUUGCAAAAGACCAUUGUUGGGUCUCAUAUUUGGAAAUUUUGUGACUUUCAAAGUCCUUUUCUCAAGAGUUUUUAUUUUCAUUUGUAUUACCAUCAACUGCAUCUAUUUGUAUCUUUGUAUAAAUUGAUAAAUUAAAUCUGACAAUAGCUUUGGCGUCUUCCAAAGAUGCAAAUUUAACUAAUGUGCAAAACUGGAAUAUCGCAUAAAACAUUUGCAAAUGUAGCAACAUUUCCAUACAACAAGAGAGAACAAAAUUGUCACUUCCUGAUAAACUGGCACUAAAUAUCACUAGGAAAGGUAGGAGAAUGUAAUAAUUUUCAUAUAUGUGAUCCUGGACCACGGUGAAUUUUUUUAAACUGAGAGGUGGAUGCCUGCAGUCAUAGAAGACAAUUAUAUAAAAAUACUUUGCUCAGGCAUUUCAGAAUGACCAAAACUACCUUUUAGAUACUGCGCAACAAGAUCAGAACAUUUUUUCUUACCGGAUAAAAAGCUUAUCAUACUUAAUUGCGCGUAUAAAUUUUUUUAAUGCUCAUUUUUUCAAAUUUAUGCACAUUUUGGUGUUUCCAUCCAGCAUUUUUUUUAAUACAGUAUUCCAAAUGCGCAUACAAAUACAUGUAUGUCAACCAUACAAUUGCUAUUCUUUUCAUUUUUCAUUCAUCAAAGAAAAAAAGUGUAGCUGCCACACAAAAAAAUAUCAAGCAGCACACGAUUUAAACUGAUCAUAAUUAAAGCUGCGGUAGGUAACUUUUGACGCUCUAGCGGUUAAUAAACAGAACUGCUUGCGUCUUGCGGAAGAACAUCGUAGCCGGAACUACUUCUCUCUGUUUAUGUCAAUGAAGAAUCACAAAGGUACUGGGUUACUCCGCCGCGGUACGCCUGAAGCAAUCUAAAAUAGUCCAAAUAUAAACACUUAUUAUAGGUGCACCCUAGUGAUUCAGGACAAGCUAAAAACACAGUUUAAAAUGGAUUCAUGGUGUACUCGCUUAUUAUAUACAUUUUUCUACAUUUUGAACACAAACAAAGUUACGGACCGCAGCUAUGAUUGGUUGUUUCACUGGGAGGAGCCAGAGGAGCUUGAUUUUUUUCCACAGAUUAUCUGUCUAAUGUUCUACUGUCAGGACAUAAUGACAGGUUUAACAAAUAUGUAAAAAAUAUAUUUUUACAAAAGUUACCUACUGCAACUUUAAAAAAAAAUUCUUAAGAACUAUAUCAGCAUGUUAGUUUAGCUUUUUCACCACUCAAAUUUAUUUAAAAAUAUAUUUAUAUAAUAUAAUUUUAGUAUAAUAUAAUUUCAAAAUAUAUUCAGAUACAAAGUGGAUUUAUUUGUAGAAAUAUUUAACAGUAUUACCAUUUUCACGGUAUUGUUGAUUAAAUAAAUGCUGGAAAAAUAACUAGGCCCACCACUGUUCCACUGGGAUUGAAACUGUUCCACCACUAAGGGAAGUUUUGCCAUGGUAAGUCAAAUCAUGUUAGUUUGAUUUAGUUUGAAGGUCAGUUAUAUUUGUGUUUAUGUCAGUAUGUGUUUGUGUAUGUGCAGGCAUUUUUUUUUUGCGUUUGCUGUAUUUUCAACAUUCCCCCCAUAACUCACUUAGAAACUGACUUACUUUGUUCUUAAAGUACAUGAUACAGAUUUGCCCUCCUGUUUGCCUUCCUUCACUCUAAUAUAACCACAUUACUGGAAUAUUCUUUCAAAUAUUUGUAUGUAUUUGACACUGAUAUUCUUAAGUCUUUGAUUCUUCUCCCAUUACAUUACAUACACACAUGCUUUUGUGAACACACACGGCACCAGGGUGUGGAUUGGCUGUCAUGAGUCACAUAUUAUUGUCUUUGAUCUCAGGACUUUGGUCUCAUCCCUUAAUCAAGCCAAGAGUGAGCGAGAAAGAGAGAUGGAAGAGGAGAUGUGAAUGGAGAGACGGCCUGCUUUUACAUCUGGCUGAACACCAGGUUAGAUCAGCUCCAUUUGUACACCCUUCCCUGCCUAAAACAAGCUGAUCUUUCUGAACAUCUUUCAAGGAUUUAAAUUACAAUUUCUGUGUGUACAAUUUCCCAACUGUGUGUACCGAUAUCUUUUUAACUUUAUAAUGUUGAGACUUCCUUGUUCUCUAUAUAUGAUGUGGUGAGGUCUGGGACACAGUCUUCUGGUGCCACAUUUAGUUCAUAAAACUUUUUUGCAUCAUUUUAUCAUAGACGUCUCUGCGAUCAUGCAAAGUGCACGUUAUAUUGGGCACUGCAUGAUUUAUACUCUAGGGUAAGUUGUUUGUAUGUGUGUGUGUGUGUGUUUAUGUGUGCCACUUUGCUCCUCACUGUUUCACAUUACCUAAAUCAGCAAAUAAAACCUGAACUUGUCAGAGGCACACAAAUCAACCACAUGUAUGAUAAAGUCAUCCAACCCAUAGCUGGUGAGCGGCCCCUUCUAACACAGUUUUCCUGGUAGACCUUCAUUCAGCCAGACACAGUGAAACUGAACUGCGCUGGCACUGAGGCCGAAACCAGAUACUGCUCAGACCUCUCAAUCCCAGCUACAUGCCUGUAGUUACAUAAAGUAUAUACUAUUUUUUGAACACAUGAACACAUUUAAGAAAGAAUGUAUCUCGGCCCUUAUCAAAAGGGGUGGAAAAUUAAUCAAUAUUAUUAUAAUAAUUAUAUGUAAUUAUUUCAAUAUUUUCUUUUGAAUACGUUUUUGUUUGAAAUUAAAAACCUUUUUAUUUAUUUACUUAUUUAAAUUAUAACUAUUUUUUUUUUAUGAAUGUGAGCACAUUAGAGAGAGAAUUUACAUCUAGACCCUUGACAAAAUAUAUGAAAAAAAAGGGUCUGAACAUUGUCAGAAUAUCUACUUAAUUAUGAAAUGAUGCCGUAGUUGGCACAAAAAGGAAAUUAACAGUUUAAAUAUUGUCAUAUUAGUAAAUAUUGUCAAAUUAUGUAUUCAUCUAUAUAAACGUUAUCAUAAUUUAAAUAUUCAAAUAUGUUUUUGAAAUGUUACGUUUUUAUAUAAAAUAUAAAAAGGUAUUGGGGGUCUGAAUAUUGUCUAAUUGUCUAUAUUUAUGUAUUUUUCUGUGGAAAUUCUUUCAUAAAUUGAAAAAUGCAUGACAUUUCAUCUUAAAUGUAAAUUUAUACCAUAUGUGUGUGUGUGUGUGUGUGUAUUAAUAAAUAAAAAAAAAUAGCCUGCUGCACCAGAUUGUAUUUUUUAUUAUUUUACUGCCCGUGACAACAUCAGCUCUGUGUUUUGACAUAAUCAAUAUCAUCAAUAUUAAAAUCAGUGUUGGUUGUGGUGGUAAAUCAGAAAUCAAGAUUAAAUCGAAAUAUUUGGAUGCUCAAUUGUGAUCCGCUCUGAAGCGACUCCUGAUGGGAAUUCUGGGAAAUUUCAGUGUGCAGUAUCCCACCAACUGUGACCUAAAGUUUAUUGUAGAGGAUCAUGUUGUCGUAUAUUAUUACGUAUAUCAUAUAUGAUUACACCCCAUGCCCUGUGUUAUAUCAACGUUACAGUUUGCUUGACUUGCCAAGGUUUGCAGUAACAGGUUCUGUGUAAACCAUCCAUUGCCUGGUUAGAGAAAUGACUUCCAGAUGCCUUCACUGCAAAGAUAAAGUACCUGCAUGUUGGUCAAAUCAGACAGAUGCUCAGGGCGUUUAUAAGUAUUCUCCUCUCAUAUGGGCUCAUAUGCAUAAGUAAACAACGUGGGCAGUUUGUUAAUGUGGGAACAGAGCAGAGCCUUAAUGGGUCAUUGAACAGCCAUGGCUUCGUCUCUGAAGACCUGAUUUACACCUCCUCAUAUAGAGAGCUGGAGUGAAUGAAAUGUGCACUGAGAGGGCAGCUUGUGUCUUCCCUGUGAGAUGUUUGCAGUGGUGUCUGUUGUGUCAGGAGAUUUACAGGCAGCUCUGUGUUUGUAAGCACCACAAAACCACAUAAAACACAGUGAGCUCUAAAUCUCUGAAGACCAGUGGAAUUAACACCAGAAGCAGGCCGACCAGCUGCUCAGCAGAGGCAUCUGUAGUGAUGGCCAUUAUCAGGAAUGCAUUGAUUACCCAAUUUACUUUUGCUAACAUCAUUUUGU
ensembl:lncRNA